UACACAAGAAGUCUAGUAAAGGAAGUGAG
rnacentral:piRNA from 1 species